rnacentral:rRNA from 1 species
UACGUAGGUGGUUUGUCGCGUUGUCCGUGAAAACUCACAGCUCAACUGUGGGCGUGCGGGCGAUACGGGCAGACUGGAGUACUGCAGGGGAGACUGGAAUUCCUGGUGUAGCGGUGGAAUGCGCAGAUAUCAGGAAGAACACCCGUGGCGAAGGCGGCUCUCUGGUACGUGACUGACGCUGAGACGCGAAAGCGUGGGGAGCAAACAGG